GAUGAUUAUUUCCGAACCGAAAAUCUAUACCCCAUAAUGCAGUAAUUAAGGGGUUUUAUGAAUCAAAAUGCUAAAUUCCCACCAUGCAAUAUUGUAGUUUAAAGUCCAAGUCAAAACUCACUUUGCACUUAACAGGGAGAAGUGGAUCAUUUCCUGCAGUGCAGCAUUACAAGAUUGGAUUGUAAGAAUAUCUAAGGAAUCUAAAACGGAAACAACUCUGAUUGGUCACAUCAGAUCAGUCUUCAGAGAGAGCAAUUUGAAGUGAGCUUGCUUGUCUAACUUUGACCUUCUCACAAGCCUCAGACAGAUACUGAAAGAGAGCCGGAGCAGGGGAUCAAAUCUCUCUCUUCGUGAGUGGGUGACAUUUACCAGAAAGACCAUGACCCUUCACUUUUAAUCAGCCAUCCGUCCUCUCUUGCAUGUCUCCAUCCCUGCAGUAGAUCCUAAUGUGCUGGAGAGGGGUCAGGGGCAAGCUAAAAAUAAUCUAAUACCCAAAGGCCGACCCCACACCCUUUAUAUAUGCAGUUAUCUGCUCCAGUGGAGUGUUUGGAUCAGGCACCAUGACAGCUGAAGCAAACA